rnacentral:rRNA from 1 species
AACCUUUACUAUAGCUUGACACUGAACAUUGAGCCUUGAUGUGUAGGAUAGGUGGGAGGCUUUGAAGCGUGGACGCCAGUCUGCGUGGAGCCGACCUUGAAAUACCACCCUUUAAUGUUUGAUGUUCUAACGUGGACCCGUAAUCCGGGUUGCGGACAGUGUCUGGUGGGUAGUUUGACUGGGGCGGUCUCCUCCUAAAGAGUAACGGAGGAGCACGAAGGUUGGCUAAUCCUGGUCGGACAUCAGGAGGUUAGUGCAAUGGCAUAAGCCAGCUUGACUGCGAGCGUGACGGCGCGAGCAGGUGCGAAAGCAGGUCAUAGUGAUCCGGUGGUUCUGAAUGGAAGGGCCAUCGCUCAACGGAUAAAAGGUACUCCGGGGAUAACAGGCUGAUACCGCCCAAGAGUUCAUAUCGACGGCGGUGUUUGGCACCUCGAUGUCGGCUCAUCACAUCCUGGGGCUGAAGUAGGUCCCAAGGGUAUGGCUGUUCGCCAUUUAAAGUGGUACGCGAGCUGGGUUUAGAACGUCGUGAGACAGUUCGGUCCCUAUCUGCCGUGGGCGCUGGAAGACUGAGGGGGGC